GGACGGGUCACAACCUGCUGCGGCCUUUGGUAUAGGCACCAAAGGUGCCACAGGACAAAUGGCACAAAAAUAGGACGGGAAGAUGGAAAUCAGAUGAAAGACCAUUGCUUGCAUACUCAUCUCCUAACAGCAGCACCAGUGCAGCCUUCAACUCACCUCAGAUUCCUGUAGCACCAGGGAUGUCCAUACAGCAUCACAUGUGCACACCAGCCUUGGCACUCACCUUCUGCAAUGUGUCCAGACACCUGCCUACCACCCAGUACUGCAGGGCAGAACCGGGUUCCCUGGCAAGGAAUGAGAUGCCCCAAGACCAGCUCUGUGCUGGGAGGCAACCAGAGAUGCAGACCCCCUUGCCUCAGGUCACUCGUGCAGGUGGCUGGCAAGAGCCCACCUGGUGGGGGACAGGCCGCUCAUACAGUGUGAACCAGUGCUGGUGAAAUGCACGAAGUUGUCACCUUGGAUCUCUAGUGGGGACAGAGCCAGGUGUGUCUUCACAGAAGGAGCUCACUGGAUUUCUGUUCAGGUGCAACUGCACCAAAAAUACAGAAACAUUAAAGGAAGUCAUAAAACCGUGCAAGACAGGGCUGAAAUGAACCUUCAGACAUCAUCCCCCUGAGAAGGACAAGAGCAACUCUAUCAAGAAAGAGAAGGAAAGAUUAAAACUUCAAUACAUAUAAACUGGAUAAACAAAGGAUAAUCAAGUUUGAGAGGAAGAAGUGAAAGCUGAGAUCCUCACAGCAACCAAGAUCCUUCAGUAUCUAAGACCUGAGGAAUGUGAUAUAGAGCUCCAUUAGACUUGCAACCUAUAACAAACAACGCAAUUGAACACUGGAGGAAAAGUCCUUGUACUAUCUCUAGUACAUAUUAAAGAGCAAGUGAGACAAGUGCUGAAAAACCUUAAGGGUGAUUGCCUCUGCCACUGCCGCCUUCUGGACUGGUGUCAGUUUCAGUCCUGCUGCCAUUUCUCUAAGUUUCCUCAGACUGCAGCUCCAUAACACAGCUCCAGUGCCAGUGGACACUUCUGGGUCCCUGUUCCUAAAGAAAACAAAAACUCAGCUCGGCUUUGCAGGUGAGGAUGUCAGCAUAUCUUCUUAAUCCAACAUGAGGGCUGGCUUCCUUCCCCAGUCUGUCAAAGGACCAAGUGCCAGGACCAAAUCUCUUUUAGAGCUUUCUUCCAAUGUGCACUUUAAUUCAAAGAAAAAGCAGCACUGAUUUUUUCUUCCUGUUCUUCCUCAUGACAGCAGAGGCAAACUUCACUCAGCCAAUAUCAGGAACCCUCCCUCAGCCCUGUCCUACUCUGAGAUAUAUUUAAGCAGCCAGCCAGCUGCUUUGAACAACUACACAAUGUUAAAAGCAAAGCAAAUACUUUAAAUUCUAUGCUAAACCCAUAGAAGUAAUUAGAGAAAUUUAAUCAACAUAAAAAGUCAUGGUGAAGAUGACUGUUUGCAUAUGUGCUAGAGAAAGCAAAAUCAAAAUUAUAGGUAUUCUAGCAUAGUGUUUAUGAGAGAGAUACAGAAACAAACCAACUAAGCCCUGUGGGACUGGUCUUAGAGAUAAAAAUCUGAACAUUUUUUGUCUUUAAAUCAAACAUUUUGUAACCAACUGUUAUUUGGGACUAGUUUUGUUAGUAAGAUUCACAGCAGUUUAUGAACAAAGGUGCAAUAGCCUGCAGCUGGAAUUGCCUCAUAUUUUUCUAAGUUGCUUUUUCAUACUGCGUUUAGCCAGAAGAUGACAAGUCCAGUGCAACAACAAAAAAAAAAAAAAGUCAAAAUUUUCAGCUUCAGUUGUUCACAGUACAAACUAUGCUGACCUUUUCCAGACAAUUACAUAAAACAGCAAUGAUAAGCAGUAGGGAUCCCUAUUAAAAUACAACCCACGGCUUUUGUGUGUGUGCAUGCCUUCUUUUUGGCCCACAGCAAUUGGCUGCACUGAAAAAGAUUUUAUGAAGAAAAACAACAGAUAUGAUAAAUUCCAACAGAAAUCAGCUUCCAAAUAUGCAAACGUACCAACAGCUGAUUCCAGCAUUCACUUAAUUCACCAGGGAUGGUCUGAGACAUCCUUUACCCAUUAUGCUCAACUCAAACUGGGCAGGCUAGUAAAACCUUAUUAAUCUGUUUCAUGAGUCAUAGGCAUCUUUGUUCUCUGUGUUUUGCUGAAGGUUUCCUUUAUCUGAGGUUGGAGAAUGCGCUUUGUAAAAAGUUUCAACCUGUGCGUACGUUCUCUCUGGCACAGCUCAUGUGCCCUGCCCAAGAGACUGUGAUUUCCUUUACCACAUAUUGCUACAGCUGAAAUCAGCUGAAAAUCUCAAACAGGAAAUCCCUUAACGUGACCGACAGAGUUGUGUUUGGGUAGUCCCUGCAUUACAGCUUCCCAGAGAUCCUAUUGCUCAUGCACUGUGCCUGCUGCAGAUCCCGUUCCUCUUUCUCAGUCUUUGCAAAGACAUGCAAGUAACUGAGCAGGCCUUUGGUUGCUUGUUUUUUUAAAACACAGGCUAGGAAGCUUGUAUGUUAGCAAAGAAAGUGACUAGCAUUUAACGUUUGCUUGUUGGAUCACCAGUAUAGUGGUGGCAGUAGGGAAGUAAGUGUGCUGGCUGGGUUUUUGUUAGGAGAAAGCACCUUCCUAUGGAAAAGCAACCUCUCCUCCACAGUUUGGAGAUCAGAUUUCAGCUCGCUGCUACUCCUCCUGACUUCUCUAGCAAGAGCAAGCAUUUAUGAGACAUUCCCCAAAUAUCACACGAGGAUGGCAACACAAAUGAAUGAUUUUUUUUCUUGAAAACAGACUCAAUGACACAAUCAGUAAUGUACACACAGCCACACAGAAAAGUGUCUGUCGCUCCUUGCAAAAAUUAAGUCUGCCUUCAGCUUCCGAAAGAAUGCACUUGUGAGGAUACAUAAUUAAUUAUUUUCUUCCACUCUCCAUUCUCUAUUAAGAAAUGUUUCUGAGCUCUUAAAAAGCUCGACCCAAAAUUAAUGUUGCUGAGUAAAUCAAGGGUCUACAAGCCAGAUGCCUGAGAAUUUGACUGAGUGAUCAAGUGCUGAUUUUUACUUUUCCAUAAGAUAAACUAGAAAACUUGAACAAGGAUGUAAACUUGAACUACUUGUCUUCAGGUCUCAAGUGGUAUCAGCUGAAUAACUGACUAUAUAUAUAUAUCUCAAAUUAGUUGUGUGUAUAAGUUUCACUUUUCAUACCUGAAAAAUCCUUUAUAUCAUUAUACAAGUGACUCACUGAAGAAAUGCUGAUAGCUGGGGAGUAUACUGUGAUUUACUCUGGUAAUUAAACAUACCUGGAAACCCACAGGAAGUACGAAUGUGCUAAAUGGCAAAAGAUUUCAAUGCCAUUAAUUUUCUAAACAAGUACAUACUUUAAGUCAUGCAAUAAUCUGCAAGAGUUGUAUAAAAUGUUAAAAGAAGUUAUAUAAAUUAUUAUUUGUAAAUACAGAUGAAAAGGCAUGUGCCAGAACAGGACAAACAAGACAUUUAGCUGUUGCCAAGCAAGAAUAAUAAAACAGUAGAACUGGUGUGCUGAGCUGAUGUUUUCUUUAAACCCCAUUGUGUCAAGUUUAAAAAGUGCACUGCAAAAGCACUGGGCCAGAACAGAACUUGUCAGGUUCGAUGCAUGUUUGUCCAGUGCUUCACACUCCUCGUGCAUCCUCUCCUGACCAGCAUUACUUUUGAAGCAGAAAACUCAUUACCAUGAGACAAAUAGAUAAGCAAAGCUCGAUUUUCCUUCUCAUUAGCCAGCUUUAGGAUGUGAAAGCUAAGGCUGGUGAGAAGAGUUAAUGCAACAGAGAAAAAUACUGUGGGUCUGAAGGUGUUUCAAAACAUUUCCAGUUGUGCUUAAGACAGUGAGGAAGAGUUUCUUCUACCUGCUUCUUCUCAGUGCUGUCUUCAGAGUCACAGAAGAGGAAGUGGGUGAGGAAGGCAUCGUAGAGAGUGGCUGGUGGAAGGUGGGGUAGACUUUUGCACUUUUGAAGUUAAACUUCUGGAGAUCAACGGGCUGUUGUUGCUAUGUCAGAGAAACAACAUAUUGUAAACAUCUGGUUUUUCCAGUGAUGUCCAUUUUGUGCCACCCAGUUCCCCCAGCACUGGAACAUGACACAGCUGAGGCUCAGUGUGCUGCACGCUCCUGCUCAAUGCACAGCCUCUGCGAGGAUGUUGCAAGAAAGUUUUUGUCACGCUUUCAGCCGUGCUGACUUCAGCUGCAAAGGCUGAGACAUAGCCUUCCUGGUUCUGUAUCCAGGAAGACAGAAAUCAUGCAACUUUUAUGCCACCUGUGGUCUGCUCAAGUCAUCCACUGCAUCAGCAUUGGCUGCAUCCAAGGAUGGUACCCCAAACACUUUAGCUUGUUAAGAAAAACAGAGCUAAAUUUUUAUCAUUUUAAGGGUGUCAGUUCACUUGUAGAGCUAUGGAAAGAAAUAGAGGAGUCUGACAUUUUCAAGAUCACAAACCAGAAGUAGAAACAGGAAUCUCAAACUGCUAGUCUCCCUGUGCAUAUCACUACACAAUCAUUAUCUUUACUCAAAAUGUGGAAAAUCCUCUUUCGAAC